GUGUCUUUUCAUUUUUUGUGUGGACAGUUAAUUGUUUUUAGUUCUGUCAAUUUGUGCAUUUAGUUAGAGAUUUGUUUCUAUCUUCUUUUUAUUUAUUGAAUUUGAAUUUUCUGAUUUAAUCUGCUCAGUUCUUGAUACCUGCUUGUAGAACUCUGUUUGUCUGCAGUUCAAAAUAAUAGUGGGUUAACUAUGGUCUAAAGUCAUGAUAGUGGGGUUUGUAGAUAGAUUUUGACAGAUUUGCUUCACAUGUAUUUUUAAAUUUUAUAUUAGUUGUGAUUAUUGUUCUCAGUGAAAAUUUGGAUCUAGACUCGAUUUCAGUUUAAUUAAUUUUGUGCAGUAUCUUAGUUGAAGAGGUAUUUUUGGCAAAUUUUACUGGAAUUGAUAGUGUUGGUGGACCUAGCGUUUGCUUUGGAGAUGGUGGCAGGGGACUAGGAACGAUCUAAUCAAUCCAAGUAUUGAUACUCCUGAAGCUGGCUAUGGAGAUAUACAAACAAGCUAUGGAUAUAUACACGUAGGCUACAAGAUAACCCAAUGUCUAUUCGUGCCAUAAUAUCUCAGACUCUGUAUAAGUCAUACAUGGAAAAUAUUCCCCUUUUCAUAGGUUGCUCCCAAGUCCCAUGAAUUCAU